GUGGUCCAAACAAGUUUUCAAAUGAAAUAUUAAGAUAAGAUUUGAGUGUUUAAAAAAAAUUGAUUACAUAAACAAGUUCUAAUCUAGGAUAUUAUAAGAUAGUCCAAAGGUUAAUACACAUUAUCCAAAAAAUACAAAGUGUUACAAUUGAAUAAACAAGGUUAUGCUGCAUGUCCAGCUAUUGAAAACAGAGCCUUCAAAGAAACCAUUGCCAAAAGACCAUCCUUUGGAUUGAAGCACCCUAAACCAAAUUCCCUCAUGGAACUGGUACAGCAGUCGUCCGUUCCCACUUGAAAUUGGAUUUGCCUUUGCGACCUGCGAAGAAAUAAAAGCUUAAGUCAAAAGUCUUAUCAUAAGCACUUAAAAAACUGAAGAAUAAUUAAUAAUUAAUCAGGUAAAAGCUUUGCACAGAGGACCACAAUGAACGCCCAUAAAUGUAUUUCGCUACAAGUUCAACAGUAAUGAAUCCACAAAAUAAAAAUCCCACGAAAUCUGGGAUGAGCAAAAGAUAUCCUGACAGAUUAUCCUAGGAGUUACUAGCUCAUCAUGAAGAGGAUAAGCUACACAGUCUCAAUAUUAGUACCCAGAGAUAACACUGAGUAAAAAAAAACCAUUAAUUUUCGGCAAGAAAUCAAAAUAACUUUUCAUCAACACAACCAUCUAAAAGCGCUCAAAGGUAAAGAAGAACGGAGGAAGACGAAAAGAGUUAAAAAUUUAGGAGGAAACUUAUCUUGAACGCCGCGGAGAAGACGUCGCCGACGAUCCACUUCCGAUCAAGUAUACCCCUUCUUUCUCCUUCGCUUAAAAUAUUUGCAUCAUUUUAUUCGCCUCGAAGAGCUGACCAAAACCCCCAUAACAAUUGCUUGAAAUCUCCGCCGUAUAGCUUCAUUUGCAGAGUUAGGGUUUGACCUUGAAUGUUUAUAUUUAAUUUGUUUUUGUGUUUGUUUGGCUUGAGGAGGAGAUUUAUAUGGUUUGGUUUGUGAAAAUUUCCGUUUAGGAUUUUGUGUGUGAUUUAAGAUCUCCGAUCUGAGACACUGGUUAGCCUUUUGUUGUUUUCGUGACCGGAUCUGUGAUCGUGAGGUUAGAAUAGGUAGGGUUGGUGUUUCGAGUUUAGACUUUGGGGUAGAGGUUCGCCGGAGAAGAAGGUGGCGCCGCCGCCGUUGGCCGGCCACCACCGUCUUCUCCGGCAGGUCGCGACCGAAGGGAUGGUCGGAAAUUGCAGAUCAAUUUCUUUCAUUUUCAAGUGAAGAGAGAGAAGGUAGGUUACAAAAUGAAGUUGUUCUGUUGAAGUGGGGAUUUAAGGCGUGGCCUUUUGGAUAAGUACGGUGGUGACAAGUGUCUCCACCGUGGACACUUGUCACCGGUUGUUUGAACUUUUCUAGUGGAUUCUAUGUGACGCUCAUGGACCUUUACCGUGCACUAGCAUAUUUAUCGUUCGUCCACCCUUGUUGACUUAAUCAAGUCACGAGAUCUAACGGCCUUUGAUUCGGAUGCACGGUUAAUUCGUUGACCAGGAGAUCCACUGGAUUCAUGGGCUGAGGCUGGGGCCUCCGAAUUGGGCCCAAAAUCUUGCCUUUUCGCACCCCUUUACUGUCAUGCAGUAAGCCCAUCUUUUAAAUACUACUUAUUUAUUUUCACCAAUUUUCUCUUCCCAUAUUUUUAUGUAAAAUAUAUAUAUAUAACUAUUAUUACCAUAAACUUAAUUUAGCUAUUUCAUUUACUUAACUAUUAUUUUAAAUAUUUAUUUGUAAAACUCAAAAUUAAUCAUGGAUUUGAUGCUUUAUUUGUAAACUUAAAAUUAAUUGUUAAUUUAAUUUGUAUAUUUGUUUGAGCCAUCAUUUUCGUAUAUGUUUAUUAAACUCAUUGGUGCAACUUCUAGGUCCGAAUGAAUCAUGUUCUAUCUCAUAUCUUUUCAUAUUAGCAUUCAUCAUUUAAUUAUCAUAAUAAAUCAUUAAAAUCACACAAUUCUCGAUUCAAAGGUCGAGCCUAUUUUCAAACACCCUUGUAAGCCGAUUGCUUUUAAGCAUCGCCAUCAACCUCACGUAGCUUGCUCUUGGGCUUUCUUACAAUGAGACCUAGUCGAUUAUUAAUUGACCGAUUAGAUGAACUAUUCACUAAAUAAAAUCCACUUCAUUCGUAAACAUAAAUUUAAAACCUCGAUCCAACAUCGAGUAUUCUUUAUUAAAAUUAAAUUAAAAUACCUAAUCACAAUUAGAUAUCAUUUCAUUUGGAAAUGAAAUAGGAGAUGGUUUUAAGUUUUCAACUCCUCUCAUCGAUUAUUUGAAUACGAGUUCUUUUACUCGGUUAGUCGAAUAAUCGUCAUUUCUAAUCCACUUAAGCAUAAUUCAAUCAAAGCGUUCUUACAAUAAAUAAAAAAAAUGAAAUGGGGAAUGGUUUUGAGUUUUCAACUCCUCCCCUCGAAUGUUUGGAUACGAGUUUUCUUACUCGGUCAGUUAAACACUCGUCAUUUUGUUAUAAACUUCUAAAACCCGAUUAAAUCAAAUUAUUUUCAUAAUAAGCUAAAUGAAAAGGGAGAUGACUUUGAGUUUUCAACUUCUCACCCCAACUGUUUGAAUACGAGUUCUCUUACUCGGCCAGUCAAACAAUUGUCAUUUUUUACAAAACGUACAACUUAGUCAAAUCAUUUUCAUAACAAAUUAUACGAAAAAGGAGAUGGUUUUGAGUUUUCAACUCCUCUUCUCAAAUGCUUGGAUAUAAGUUGUCUUACUCAGUCAUUCAAGUACUUGUCGUUCAUUCUAAAAUACGUCAACCAUACGCAAACUAAUUUUCAUAAUCACUCAGGUGAAAAAGAUGUUGGUGUAAGCCCUAGAGGCCAAUACCUUUUGGUACUUGUAUCGAAUUAUUUAUUAAUUAUAAAAGGCAUUUUCUUUAUUAUGGUUGAUUAAUAAAGCCCCUGGAAUAGAUAGUCCGUUUAAUGUAUUAAGUGUGACUUAAUCAUGAGAACACAUUAAACUUAAGAACGGUAUUCUUAAAGUAUCCGUAGUCGAGCUUUAGUGUGAAGUGGGAUAACAUUAAAGCAUUAAGACUAUUAUGUUUGUAGACUGAUGAUCACGUCUCAUGGAUCAUGGAUAAAAAGUUAUCAAGUCUUAAACAUAGGUAUGAAUAUUAGGAGUAAUAUUUAUACCGGAUUGACCCGCUAUGAGAAUACUAUAUCAAACGUUAUGCAAAGUGUCAUAAGUUAUUCUCAUGGUGAUAAUAGUGUAUUCCACUCUUCGACCUGAAACCACUAUGGACCCUAGAUGUAGAGUCGAGUGCUUUAUUGCUGAUCCAACGUUGUCCGUCACUUGAUAACCAUAAAGACAGUUAAUGGGUACUCCACAAAGCAUGCUGAGGGACAUGAGUGACCUAGAUGGAAUUUGCCGAUCCUGCAUAACAGGAUAAAUGUCUAUGGGCCCCAAUAUUGAACUGGACAAGGAUGACACGGUCUAUGCCUUGUGUUUAAUAUAGACAUAAGGGCAAAAGGGUAAUUAUACACAUAAGUAUUAUCACAAAAGGAAUUGUCAGAUCACAUGACAUUUUUGUGUUUGGGUAGCAGUGAUGUGUUGCUAGAUAUCGCUCACUUUUUAUUAUGUUAAAUACGUGAUUUAAUAUAUUGUCAACGCGCGAAAACCUACAGGGUCACACACAAAGGACGGAUUGAUGAGAGAUAGAGUAACUAAGGAAUACCGUAAGGUACGGUGCCCUUAAGUGAGUUAUGGAACAUCGUAAGGUACGGUGUACUUAAGUAGAAUACUAAAUAUGGUAAGGUACCAUGUGCUUAAGUGAUUUUGGGCAUAUUAUAAGAUAUGGGCCAAAAUACACUUAAGUGGGAUUUUAGCUUGAAGCCCACACAAGUGGUUCUAUAAAUAGAACCCUUGUGCAGAAGCAUUAAUUGCAGUUGCAUUAUUUCGUUUUUUCUCUCUCUCUCUCUCACUCAAAGCCUUCAUUCGUACCAGCUAGCACUGAGAUUGAAGGAAUCCGUUCGUGUGGACUGAGUAGAGACGUUGUCAUCGUUCAAUGUUCGUGAUCACUUCGUGGAUCUGCAUCAAAGGGUUUUAAUCGUCAUAAGAGAUUUGCACCAAAGGUUUCAAUCGUCACAAGAGGUAAAUAUUUUAUCACUGAUCAUGACCAUUCGUAAGGAUUUCUAAAGGAGAAAAUUUUAAUUUCCGCUGCGUUUUGGACCACAAUUCUCCUUCAAAAGAAAGUGGUCUAGAGUCUUCUAUUCCCUUUCCCGUUUAUUAGGAUACGAGUUGUCUUAAUUGAUUAUCCGAGUAUUCGUCAUCCAUUUAAAACACCUUAACUAUUAUCAAAUCCUUUGUAUAAUUAAAGAUGAAAAAGAAAGUGGUCUAGAGUCUUCUCUUCCCUUUCCCGACUGUUAGGAUACGAGUUGUCUUACUCGAACAUCCAAGUAAUUGUCAUCCAACCAAAAGUAUCUCAACCAAUCAUCCAACAUAUUAAUCCAACUUGUCACCCCCGUGUGGCCAAAACUCUUUUCAAAAAGACGCUGUUUAAUCCCUUCUAACGCGCAUAACAAACUAGUGCUCAAGCCUCCGCCGAGAGUAGACAAGCCAAAAUUUAGCCUUUAAAAUGCGAUCUAAACAGAUGUUCAUUAAAAAACACACCAACCAACCGUAGUUCCCCGAACUAUAAAUGCUCUGAUUUCCUUAUUGCACCAUAAGGAUAAGUAGGCAAGAGAUUGUUGUAUCUUCGCGAGCACACUAAUAAAAAACCUCCCAUUUCCCCCUUCUGAGGUCUUCAUCCAUAUCUAUUAUCAACUCUAAUUACUCGAAUAAAACAAACAAACAUAAAUUAACACUCAAAUCACAUAAUUGAACUAAAAGGUUUCCGUUGAGUACAACGAACGUGAAGGGUGCUAAUACCUUCCCCUUGCGUAAUCCACUCCCGAACCCGAAUAUGGUUGCGACGACCAUUAUUCUUAUUUUUAAAGGUUUUAUCGCUAUUUUCCUAUUCCUUCAUGGGAAUGAAUAAAGUUCGGUGGCGACUCUUUUUCGAACUAAACAUUUUUCCGCGUCCAUCGCGAGGGAUCACAUUUUUUUUGAGGUGCGACAGAGGGCGACUUUGCUGGGGAUUAGCUCCAAGCAAAAGAGAGUGAAGCCUAAUUUAGUUCAGUUGAUGUAUUGUGUGUUAAUUUUGUUUAUUUGUUUUUUAUUUAUCCUGUUAUAAUUAUUGUCUGGUGUUUUAUUGGCUAUGUAUUAUUGGGGUUCUCUGGUUGGUGAUACUUUGUGAGAUAGGCUCUCCACCCGAGUCUGAGAAAAACCAUAAGAUUAAGUUGGUGGUUGCGUAGUGAAGAUAGGCUCUCCACCCGAGUCUGAGAAAAACCAUAAGAUUAAGUUGGUGGUUGCGUAGUGGACGCCCACAAGGAGUCUUCCUUGUUGGGAAGAUACGAAGACCCCGCCUAGAGGAGAUUCUCUUGAAAUAUUAUUGCCCGACAAGUUUUCGUCACGAUGAUAGUAUUCUCAAGUUGGAUCAAUGACUCUAGGGACCUUUAUACCCACUAUAUCUGGCGGUUAUGUAAUAUUUACAUGAAAAGUCCCAAACUUAUUGGGUUAAUAUGAAAGCCCCAAUCAGAUGAGAUCCCUUAGGCGUAUUACUACCUUACAGUAGUAUUUCCAAUCUCGAUCUAUGACUCUGAGAACCUUAUUAGAACCUUGGACUCAAGAGUUGUGUAGUAUGGACCCACUAGGAUUUUUCCUCUUUGGGACCAUACGAAGGCCUCACCCAGACGAGACUAUUUUUGGGGAUGUUAUUGGUGGAUGAGCUUUCGUCAUGACAAUAACCUUCGUAAAUAGUGAUUGAUGACUUUGUGAACCUCUUAAAUUUAGCAUUAUUCCAAAAGGGUUUUGUUUAGUAACCAAGGAUACCCAUUCUCAAGGCUUGUGUGUUGACCUACCUGUGGCAUGCAUAACAUCAUUCAUAACAUGACAUUCAUAUUAUUUUAUUUCCAAGGAAUCUGAGUAUCAUAAGUUGUAGGAAUUCAAGAAGCUUGGAAUCAAGCAAAAGAAACAUUCACUCUUUCAAGUUUAAAGACCCCGAUCUAAGGAGAUUAUAUGACUUGGUCUCUCAGAUGCACCCGGUGUACAUAAUCAACUUUGGAAAGAAUUAUGGAAAUCUGCUCAACAUCCUCAACCAACGAGUGGACCAUACAACUUUAGUCACUCUAGCUCAAUUCUAUGACCUACCUUUAAGAUGUUUCACAUUCCAAGACUUCCAGCUAGCACCAACUUUGGAAGAAUUCAAGCGUCUUGUUAGGAUUCCUAUGAAGAACAAGCCACUAUUUGAAGGGAUAGAUGAAUCUUUGCCCCUUGAGAUCAUUGAUAGCAUGCUUCACAUGGACGAAAGGGAAGUAGAGGCUAACCUAGAGACCAAAGGGAAUACCAAAGGAUUUUCGCUAAGUUUUCUCUUGGAAAGAGCCCAUACCCUACUAAAAGCAGAAAGUUGGGACGCUUGUUACUCAGCUAUUGUGUUGGCCAUCUAUGGAAUCGUCCUGUUCCCAAAUAUGGAUGGUUUCAUAGACAUGGCUGCUAUUUGCGUUUUCCUUACUGGAAACCCAAUACCCAUCUUGUUAGCUAAUGUUUACUAUUACAUGAGCCAUAGGUACACCAAGAAGAAAGGGGUGAUUGCUUGUUUUGCUCCUUUACUAUAUCAGUGGUUUCUUGAGCAUCUUCCAAAGACAGGUGUUUGGGUAUAACAGACAGAUGUUAGUUGGCCUCAGAAAUUGGGAUCACUCCGAUCCGAAGAUCUUUCUUGGUAUUCCAAAGAAUACAUCAACAUGGACAUCGUAUUCAGCUGCGGAGAUUUCCCUAAUCUACCACUAAUUGGAACUCAAGGAUAUGUGAAUUCUAACUCGGUUCUAUCACUAAGACAACUUGGCUACCCAAUGGAAGGCCCUACAAAGGCAAGGUCUUUGGAAGCUUUUUUGUUGCUUGGCUUUAGGUUUGAGAAUCCUAGCUUGUUCCAACGAAUCAAAGAGGCUUGGAAGAGUGUCAAUCGAAAAGGGAGAGCUGAUUUGGGGAGAGCUAAUGGGAUUACAAAAGAACCAUAUUUUCAUUGGGUAAAGGAAAGGGUGGAGAUGAUCAAAAUGCCAUUUGUCACUCAGACACCUGUACCUCUUCCUGAACCUAAGCUCACCCAUGUCCCUAUUGAAGAAGUGGAUGUACUCAAGACCACCAUGGAAAAGUUAGAAAGAGAGAAUGAAGAGUUGAAGUUAAAACUCCAACAAGUCAUCAAUGAGAAAAACACCAUGAAGUGGGAGCUUGAGAGAAUGGAUGUACAACUUCAAGCACAUGUGGAAAAAUUCAACAAAGAAGAGCAUAAGAGGAAAAAGAUCAAAGUGGGACUAGAACAAGCUGACCAUUGUCUAGAUACUCUUAAGGGUCAAUUACGACGAGCCCAGAAAGAAUGUCAAGACAAUGAGAAUUGGUGGCAUCUGGCCACAAAUGAAAACAAGACGAUAAGAGAUACACUUGGGGAUCAUAUAAAAGAACUCACCAUUUCUGUUCGUCAUGCAAAGGCUGAAGCGAAUCAAGAACGUCGACUCAAAAAUAUAGCCACCGAAGCUUCUAGAGUUUCACCCAUGAUAUGGGAGGAGAAGUGUCGAGAAAUGAGAGACGCAAAAGAGUCUGCCAACUAUUGGAAGAGCCAGCUAGAGUUAUUACACCAAGACAACUCCAUAUGGUUGAAGGAACGAGAGUAUGUAACUGAAGAUUAUGAAUCCCUUAAGAAGACCAUAAACUUCUUGCAAGGAGAUAGGGAUAAGUUUCGUGCAAAGAUCGAUGGGCUAGUGGGGUUCUGUAAUUGGGCGGUUAAAGAAUUAUCAUGGAAGUUAAGAGACACAGUUGAAGAGUUGAAGGAAGAUAGCACACCUCCAACCAUAAUCAGUUUUAUUUUGCUCUGUAGAGGGUUGCUGAAGAGAUUCAAGGAAGAACUAGAAGAGCUCCAAACCAGAAAGCCUGCAAUUUAAUUUUCCUAUGUCUUAUAUUUUGUUCCUUUGACAAUGUAUUUUGAACUAGGGCCUUUUUGGACCCCUAUGUUAUGUACUUGAAUGAUUGACGUUUAAAAUUACUCCAUUAUUGCUAUUCUAAGUAUUUCUUGUUUCUUAGAAUUACUAACUGUCGCACCUCGAAAAAAUGCGAUCCCUCGCGAUGGUCGCGGAAAAGUUUGUGUUCGAACAGAGUCGCCACCUAACUUUAUUUAUCCCAAUGAAGGAAUAGGAAAAUAUCGAUAAAACCUUUAGGAAAUGGAAUAAUGGUCGUCGCAACCAUAUUCGGGUUCAGGAGUUGAUUACGCCAGGGGAAGAUAUUAGCACCCCUCACGUCCGUUGUACUCAAUGGGAACCUUUUAGUUUGAUUUUGCGAUUUGUAUGUUAACUUAGGUUGUUUGUUAUCUUCGGGUUAUAAAUAUAUUGAAAGGAGAUGGAUGGAAACCUCAGAAUGGAGAAAAGGGAGGUUUUUUAUUAGUGUGCUCGCGAAGAUACAACAAUCUCCUGCCUACGUAUCCUUAUGGUGUAGUAAGGAAGUCAGAGCAUUCGUAGUUCGGGAGACUACGGUUGGUUGGUGUCUUUUAGUGAACAACUAUUUAGAUCGUGUUCUAAAGGCUAAACGCUGGCUUGUCUACUCUCGGCAGAGGCUUAAGCACUAGUUUGUUAUGCCCAUUAGAAAGGAUUAAAUGGUUUCUUUCUGAAAAGAGCUUUGGUCACACUGGGUGAAAAGUGGGAUUAAUAUGUUAGAUAUUUUGAUUGGUUGAGAUGUUUUUAAUUGGAUGACGAUUACUCGGAUAGUCGAGUAAGGCAACUCGUAUCCUAACAGUCGGGAAAGGGAAUAGAAGACUCUAAACCACUUUCUUUUUCAUCCUUGAUUAUAAAAAAAAUUAUAGUAAUUAAGGUGUUUUGAAAGGAUGACGAAUACUCGGAUAAUCGAGUAAGACAACUCGUUUCCUAAUAAUCAGGAAAGGGAAUAGAAGACUCUAGACCACUUUCUAUUUCAUCUGAGUAUUUAUGAAAAUAAGGUUGUAUAUUGUUGACGUAUUUUGGAAUGAACGACAAGUACUUGAAUGACUAAGUAAGACAACUCAUAUCCAAGCAUUUGAGAAGAUGAGUUGACAACUCAAAACCAUCUCCUUUUUCGUACAGUUUGUUAAGAAAAUGAUUUGAUUAAGUUGCGGAAAAUGAAAAUUGUUCGAUUGACCGAGUAAGAGAACUCGUAUUCGUCCAAUUGAGGAGUGAAAUUGAAAACUCAAAGUCAACUCCCUUUUAAUUUAGCUUACUGUGAAGAUAUUUUGAUUUAAUCGGGGUUUAGAAAUUUGUAGAGGAAUGACAAUUAUUUGACUAAUCAAGUAAGAGAACUUGUAUUCAAAUAAUCGAGGAGAGAAAUUUAAGACUCAAAGUUAUCUCCCUCUUUAUUUCUUAUUGUAAAAGAAUUUGAUGUAUUUGUUCUUAAGUGGAUUAGAAAUGAUGAUUAUUCAAUUAAUCGAGUAAAAGAGUUCGUGCUUAAAUAAUCGAGGAGAGGAGUUGAAAACUCAAAACCAUUACCUCUUUUAUUCCUAAGUGAAAUAAUGUUUAAUUAUGAUUAGGUAUUUUAAUUCUUAAUAAAGAAUACUCGAUGUUGGAUCGAGAUUUUAAAUUUGCAUUUUAUGAAUGAAUUGAAUUUAUUUAGUGAAUAGUUCAUCUAAUCGAUUAAUAAUAACCGAAUAGGUCUCAUUGUAAGAAGGCCCAAGAGUAAGCCAUGUGAGGUUGAUGGCGAUGCUUUUACAAGCGAUCAACUUACAAAGGUGUUUUGAAAAUGGGCUCGACUUUAAAUUGAGAAAUAUGUGAUUUAUUUUUGAAAUUGGUUUAAAUGAUUUUAAAUCGGUGAAAUUGACAUAACCUUCCCACAAUUAUAACAUGUCAUCCAUAUGCACUUGAGACUCGGUAUAAAUAAAUAAAUACAAAAUAAUCAUGCACAUACCCUCCAUAAAAAAACAAACAAUUAUCUAAAUUAUAAGUGACCUUAAUAAUAAUAUAAUUAAUUGAUUAAAUAUUUAGUAGAUUAUUUUGAUUAAAUAAUAAGUAAUUAAAAAAUGAUGAUAUAACCAAAUAAUUGCAUAUUUACCAUUAAAUAUUAAUUAUAAUAAUAACAAUAUAAUUGCAUAUUUACUAUUAAGUACUACUACUACUACUAAUAAUAUAUAAUUAUAACUUUGAAAGAAAGUAAAUAAAAUAAAAUAUUGCUUUUUAUUUGAUAGCCAUAAAAUUCUAGUGUAUAUUUUUUAUAUGUAUAUAAAUAAAAGAAAAUAAGUGAAUAAAUUAAAAAAAAUAAAGAAAAUGGGCCAAGCAAGAGAAGAGCCCAACUCUGGGCGCUGCUGGAAAUAGAACAGGGGAUUUAUUAGCAAAAAAUCUUUGGGCCCAACCCUGAGUUGGCCCAAAACGAAACCAUCAAGGCCCUGAAUGGCUUGGUCAAACAUUGACCUCCUAUGGAGAUGUUUGGGCCCUUAGAUCAGUGGACUAUGACCUGGUCAACGAAUCCAAAGGGAGGCUUGUGAGGGCGCACCAUUAUAUGGUGGGGGGAUCCACACAGGAUCCCCUGGUUGACCUAGGAGUCAACCAACCAUGUGGCGCUAGCAGAAAGGGCCAUGUGGCGCCCAUGCAGCCACUCUCAUUUGUAUAUAAAAACAAAAAAUUGAGAGAGAAAGCCAUUUGCUCAUCUCGUUCUCUCUCUUCACUCUUAAGAAUGAAGUUGCUUUUCAACUUCCUUUUCUUCUCCAUCACCACCCCUCACGGCCAAACCUGCCGAAGAAGACGGUGGCGGUCGGCCAACCGCGGUAGCGCCGCCCUCUUCUCCGGCGACUCUCCACCCAAAACCCAAACCUUUAAACACGAACCCCACUUGUUUUUGGCCGGUGAUUUCAAAUUCGGCCUUGUUUUUCUACGAAUCCUUCUCAAAUGGCCGGAUCGAGGCCCUCCUUCAAAACACAAACCUAAAACCUAACCCUAAACUCUCUCUCUCUCUCUCUCACGCGGCCAACACACCCUAGUUCAUCAUAUCCUAAAUACCAACCAAUAUCCUAACCCUAAACUUUGAGUUUUAAGACUCUACAGUUGCGCUUUGAAGAAAAUAAAAGAGGGAUUUCAAUCCAUGUGGAAAAAUGAAGAUGAUGGUACAAAUGAUUUAAACGAGAACGAAAAUUUUACUUGGUUGGAGUUAGACGCCGACGACGUCUCCCCACCGUUCAAGAUGAGUCUUUUUUUCUUCCUUUUUAUGCUCUUUGUCUUUCUCUAUUUUCGUUUUGAAUCAUGUUGUUGUUUUGUUUGAAUCUUAGGGUUUGGAUUUUUUAUGAAUUAUUUUUUAUUGUUGCUUUCUUGGAUUUUUCAGAAUGUGUUGUUCGUUUGGUUUGAGGUUAAUAGAGAAAAAUAUUUUGAUUGUUUUGUCUUGGAUUUUUUAAAAACGUUCUUACUGUUAAUUUUGUUCUGGGUAUUUAUAUGUUGAUUUUUAGAUCUUAAGACAACUUGUUAAGUUAUCUCUUCCAGAUUUCAUGGGAUAAUUAUUCUAUGGAUUUAAGGUUGUCUGGAUUAGAUAUUGGAACACAUCCUUGGGUGUUUACUUUGGUUUACUGUGCAAAGAAUUAAUCUGUCCCUCUUAUCAAUUGUUUUUCAGUUUUUUAUAAGUGCUUAUUUGAUAAGCUCUUCUUAAUCUUUGAAUUGGUUUUGCAGGUUUUGUAAAAGGUGAAUGGACAUUGAUUGAAAAGGGGGCCUGCGCUUACUUUAGGGAUUGGAAUUGGGCGCUGUGAAUUUCAAAAAGCUUUUGGAAAAGUCUUUGAAGAGCUGCUUCAAACUGCUGUAUUCUACCGUUUGUUUCCAACUUUUUCAACUUUAUUUAGAUGUACUCAGAACUUUUGGACAAUGUAUAAGAAUUUGGGGACUGUUUGUAAUACGUACAAAUUUAAUUUGAAACUUAUUUUUUGGAUAGUUAUAUAACUAUUUUGGAUUAUUUGGAAUUUGGAAUUAAUUAUGUAACUUUGGAUUAUUGUGAAUUUCUUGGACUAUUUGGAAUUUUGGACUAUGCAUCUAAUUAUGCAAUUAAUCAUUUUUAACAUUUUAAAUCUUGCCUUAACAAUUUAAUUGUAUUAAUCAAAAGAAAGUUUAAACUAUAUCUCGAACUGAAAAUGGAUUGGGCCAAAAUGCAAUUUAAUGGAUUUUUAACUUGGUCAACUUUAGCACAUUAAUAUUAACCAAAAUAAAAUGUGCCAAAAGGCCUAAAAUAAAACAUGUCACAAAAAAUAUUGCAAUUUCAAACUUUGAUCAUAAAAACCAAUCAAAUACUCAUACAUGUGGUAUCUUGAUCUAAACCAACAUACUUAUACUUAGAAAAGAUGCAAGUUUAGUUUAAGGUUUUUUAUGAAUGGUUUAGAGAUUUGGCAUAUAUAUUUGAGAUGUGCAAAUGAGUUUAAUGACAAGUGAUCAUAAUCAUGUCUCUUAAUACUUACUGAUAAUCAAAUGGACUUUGGAUAAGUGACGUAAAAAGAUUUGAACCACACUUUUCAAUAUUAAUUAUGGACAUGUCUAUGUGAAUGGGCCUUUUGAAACAAAGAGAUCUCAUGGAUAAACCAAAAUGGGCCUUGUUAACCAAAAAUGCACAUACCAUCCCAUGCUUUAGUAAGAGACAAAUGCAACAGAUAUCUUCUUAAGGAUCUCAACAGAUAAAAAUGUCAUUGAAGACUUGAUGUCACCAAGGACUGAAAAACCCUAAAAUAGAACCUACAUCUUAAGAUAAAAUUCAUGUUAUAACAUUGGGUAGUGAAUGCAGGUUGAAGAUUUUUCCUUACCCGGACAAAAUUAGGGUAUGACAGCUGCCCCUAUUUAAUUAUCUCGAACCGAAAAGUAAGAAUGAUAGCAGUCUUCGUGCAUUCGCGGUGGGAGAUAAUUAAAUACAAAAAGACCCAAAUUUUGUCCUAGGAAAUGCAAAGAAGAAAAUAUAGGAAGAAAAUGCAGUGAGAAAUGGUAAAAGAAAUUAUCCUACAGUAAAAUGGAACAGUCAAGACCUUCUGAGAGUUGUCAGAACAGUAUCUUGGACAUCUCAGUCGAGAUAUGUUAGUAAUGGAAUGACAUCCCUAGCUAAACCUUAAGACUUUUUCUAGGAUGCUAGAAUAAUAUAAAGAAAAUCUGGCAUGAGACUCUUCAUUUUGAUGAAGCAGCAUCUCAAAUAGUAAAAAUGAGAUUCUCUGUAUCGGGUCGAAACAGCAUCUUAUAUGAUAGAAUUAAGAUAUUCCAGCAAAGAAAAAAUACCUUAAUUGAAUCUAAGACUCUCCGAGGAUACUAGAGUAGUAUCUCCAAAAAGAAUCUGAAAUAAGACUCUUCAUAUUGAUGAAGCAACAUCUCAAACAAUAAAAAUGAGAUUCUCUGUAUCGAGUCGAAACAACAUCUUAUAUGAUAGAAUUAAGAUAUUCCAGCAAGGAAAAAAUACCUUAAUUGAAUCUAAGACUCCCCGAGGAUAUUAGAGCAGUAUCUCUACAAGAAAAAUCUGAAAUGAGACUCUUCAUAUUGAUGAAGCAGCAUCUCAAAUAGUAAAAAUGAGAUUUUUUGUAUCGAGUCGAAACGACAUCUUAUAUGAUAGAAUUAAGAUAUUCCAGCAAGAAAAAAUACCUUAAUUGAAUCUAAGACUCUCCGAGGAUAUUAGGGCAGUAUCUCUAAAAGAAAAUCUGAAAUGAGACUCUUCAUAUUGAUGAAGCAGCAUCUCAAACAGUAAAAAUGAGAUUCUCUGUAUCGAGUCGAAACAUCAUCUUAUAUGAUAGAAUUAAGAUAUUCCAGCAAGAAAAAAAUACCUUAAUUGAAUCUAAUACUCUCCGAGGAUAUUCGAGCAGUAUCUCUAAAAGAAAAUCUGAAAUGAGACUCUUCAUAUUGAUGAAGCAGCAUCUCAAACAGUAGAAAUGGGAUUCUCUGUAUCGAGUCGAAACAUCAUCUUAUAUGAUAGAAUUAAGAUAUUCCAACAAGGAAAAAAUACAUUAAUUGAAUCUAAGACUCUCCGAGGAUAUUAGAACAGUAUCUCUAAAAGAAAAUCUGAAAUGAGACUCUUCAUAUUGAUGAAGCAGCAUCUCAAAAAGUAAAAAUGAGAUUCUCUGUAUCGAGUCGAAACAUCACCUUAUAUGAUAGAUAUAAGAUAUUCCAGCAAUUAAAAAAUACCUUAAUUGAAUCUAAGACUCUCCGAGGAUAUUAGAGCAGUAUCUCUAAAAGAAAAUAUGAAAUGAGACUCUUCAUAUUGAUGAAGCAGCAUCUCAAAUAGUAAAAAUGAGAUUCUCUGUAUCGAGUCGAAACAACAUCUUAUAUGAUAGAAUUAAGAUAUUCUAGCAAGGAAAAAAAUACCUUAAUUGAAUCUAAGAUUCUCCGAGGAUACUUAGAGCGGUUUCUCAAGCAAAUAAAUGAGACUCUUCAGAUAAAUGAAGCGGUAUCUCAAACAAAUAAAUGAGAUUCUUCAGAUAAAUGAAGUAGUAUCUCAAAUGUUCGUCUGUUGGGGGAUUUUUUUUUUGAAAAGACUCCUUUUGGAGGAAAUAUAUUGGCAAAACUCUGCAGGGGAAAAGCUCAUAAGAGACUUUUUUAUGGUAACCUCUGCUUGGGAAACAAUGAUUGUAAAGAAAAAUGCUAGGAAUAUCAUUAUUAAUCAUAAAGUUGAAAAAUGAUUUGUUGAGAAAUAAUCCCACGAGCAUAUGCAGGGUAAUUACUUCAUUUGGAAAUGAGAAAUGUCUAAGAUACACAUGAAUGACCUUGGAUCCUGAUAUUUUAUAUUUGAUUUUUGUAUGACGUUCCACUUUAGGUGGGAAUUCCAUGCAUGGGAUGAUGCAUGAGAUGCAUGCAAGUAUGCAAUUGCCGGGGAUAUUUGGCUGGGCAUGUAGGAAUGCGAAUGAUUUUUUUAUUUUGUCAAAAUUCCAGUCUUGUGGGGAGUUUUUAUGCAUGCAUAUGUUGAUGAUUGGUAUGACUAUGUUAAUUUCCUGUUUGGUAGGAAGACCAUUUAUGAAUGAUUUAUAUGAUGCAUGUUAGAAUGCAAAUGGGUAAUUGGAUAUGCCCCGGUUAAGACGUUUUUGCUUUGGGGUAUGAUGCCAAUAAUGUGGAUUUUUGUUAUUUGGGGCGAUUAAUGAAGAUCAAGUUUUGAUGCCCCACUAGGUGAUUUUGGGAAUAUAUUUGGGUUGCUCCAAGUUACCGAGGGGUUCAAACUUCUCAACACGCGAUACUCCAUCUAUGAUUUAUCAAUGUUUCUGCUGGAAACGUAAUGGAGCCUUGCCCCAGUUUGGCUAUACCAUGAGUAUAUUUAUGAGAGGUGUGAAUUAAUGGUUGAAAGGAACAUAGGUAUCUGCAAACAGUCCUACACCUUUAUGAAAAACAAGAAUGAACUUGGAGACUAAAGGAUUUGUCCGCUUACUGUUUCAAAAGAAAUUUUACCACUUUAUUCAAACAUGUGUUUUAUUUUCUCCAAUAAUUUUUAAAAGUGAUGUUUAUCAAAAAUAAAAUAUGCUUUGCAAACAAACAGAUAAAAUACAAAAAAAUGAUUUGGGCAUAUUGUGUUGAGAAAAUAUCUCUUUUAUUGACUUGACCCUUAAAUGGGCGAUUGUACAUAAAGAUGCAAUUCCUUAAUGAGGUAAUUGUUGUGCAUAGAAACAAAAUGGCAAUGAAAAUUGAGUUCUUAUUGAGUUCCCACACUGCUAUGAUCUUUAUGUCUUUGAUAGUCCGAGCACUUUGCUUUUGAAAAGUAAGGUAGAUUGAUUCUUUGUCUUCGAGGGAUAUGUUAGACACCUGAAAGUACAACUCUUUGCCUUGGAAUUAAUCCCUAACUUUUGCAUGGACCGCCCUUUCGGGUUUUUGAUCCACUGGGAUACCCUUUUUUUGCCUGAAUCUGCCUUUCGGGUUUUCAACUCAGCGGGUCAAUUCUUUUACUUUUAUCCCUAAUUUUUGCCUGGAUCGCCCUUUCGGGUUUUCAAUCCACCGGGAUAGCCAUUUUUGCCUAAAUCUCCCUUUCAGGUUUUCGAUUUAGCGGCUUUUAUUAUUCCACUUUUUUUAGGCGAAGUACUUUUUAACAGCAUCAAUGUUGGUGGGAAGCGGCAACUCAUCACCAUCCAUAGUAGCUAGAAUCAGAGCGCCUCCGGAAAAGGCUCUAACCACCACAAAUGGACCUUCAUAGUUUGGUGUCCAUUUCCCUCUAGAGUCUUUGUGAAUAGGCAAGAUUUUCUUCAGCACCUAAUCUCCCUCUUGAAACACCCUGGGCAGAACUUUCUUGUCGAAUGCCUUCUUAAGACGCCUCUAAUAGAGUUGACCGUGACCUAAUGCUUUCAAGUGUUUCUCCUCAAUAAGGUUGAGCUCGUCGUACCUUGAUUGAACCCAUUCUGCCUCGUCUAGCUUAGCCUCCAUCAAGACUCUCAUUAAUGGGAUCUCCACUUCUAUAGGGAGAACUGCUUCCAUACCGUAUACCAAGGAAUAAGGGGUUGCCCCUGUUGAAGUUCGUACCGACGUGCGAUAACCAUGUAAUGCAAAAGGUAAUAUCUCAUGACAAUCCUUGUACGUGACAACCAUCUUUUGGAUGAUUUUCUUGAUAUUUUUAUUUGCAGCUUCGACAACCCCAUUCAUCUUAGGUCGAUAGGGUGAUGAGUUGUGAUGCUUGAUCUUGAACAUUGUGCAUAACUCCUCCAUGGUCUUUUUGUUGAGAUAGGACCCGUUAUCAGUGAUGAUUUUGUUGGGAAUCCCAUAUCGACAUAUGAUGUUGUUUUUUAAGAAACGGGCGACUACGUGCUUCGUCACAUCCGCGUAAGAUGCGGCUUCCACCCAUUUGGUGAAGUAGUCUAUGACCACCAAGAUAAAUCUGUAUCCAUUAGAUGCUUUGGGUUCUAUCAUCCUAAUCAUGUAGAUGCCCCACAUAGAGAAAGGCCAAGGUGAUGCUAUAACAUUCAACGGGGUAGGCGAUACAUGUAUUUUGUCAGCAUAGGUUUGGAAUUUGUGGCAUGUUCUGGUGUAAUGGUAACAAUCAUCUUCCAUCGUCAACCAGUAGUAACCUGCCCUUAGGAUUUUCUUCGCCAUGGCAUACCCAUUGGCGUGCGUACCGAAAGACCCUUCAUGUAUGUCCCUCAUAAGCUGAUCCGCUUCGUGUUUGUCCACACACCUUAAUAAAACCAUGUCAUAGUUUUGCUUAUACAACACCUCUCUGUUCAAAAGGAACUUUGAUGCCAUCUUCCGGAGGGUCCUUUUGUCAAGGAUGGAAGCCUCUGCCGGAUAUUCCCGCUUCUCCAGAUACCGUUUGAUAUCAAAGAACCGGGGUUUACCAUCUAGCUCUUCUGUUGUCGUCAGGCAAUGAGCAGGUUCGUCAAAACGCCUAAUUUCAAUGUGAGGCUGAUGGUUGGGCCAUAUAAAUUUGUACAUGGAAGCCCAAGUUGCUAAAGCAUCUGCCAUCUGAUUCUCUUCUCGAGGAAUAUGAGAGAAAGUGAUUUUGUCUAACUUUGGGAGUAGCUUCAGCACGUAAUCCUGGUAUGGAAUUAGGUUAGCAUGUCUUAUUUCCCACUCGCCUCUAAUCUAAUGUAUGACUAGCGCGAAGUCCCCGAAUACUUCUAGUACCUUGAUCUUUAACUCAAUGGCUUCUUCCAACCCUAAUAUGAAAGCUUCAUACUCGGCCAUGUUAUUUGUGCAGGUAAAAUAGAGCUUUGUGGUGAAUGGUAGAUGGAAAUUCUUGGGAGACAUCAUCACUGCCCCAAUUCCAUGGCCUAUUGCAUUUGAGGCACCAUCAAACAUGAGCGUCCAGCCUGCUCUUGACUCAAGACUUUUCUCUAGUUCGGAGUCUUCAACAUCCUUAACAACCAUGAUGUUCUCAUUUGGGAAGUCAAAUUUCAAAGAUUGGUAAUCUUCCAGUGGUUGGUGAGCAAGGUGGUAUGCUAAUAUGCUUCCUUUGAUCGCCUUUUGCGCACCAUAUUGGAUAUCGUAUUCUGACAACAACAUCUGCCACAGGGCAAUUCUACCAGUGAGAGUUGUUUUCUCGAAUAUGUACUUGAUGGGAUCCAUUUUAGACACCAACCAUGUCGUGUGAGUUAGCAUGUACUGCCUGAGACGCUUAACGGCCCAUGCGAGUGCACAACAAGUCUUCUUGAGUAAUCAAUAUCUGGUCUCACAAUCAUUAAAUUUCUUGCUCAGAUAAUAUAUGGCAUAUUCUUUUCUACCAGUCUCAUCUUGUUGUCCCAAUACACAACCCAUGGACUCGUCGAGCACAGUUAGAUAUAUGAUGAGAGGUCUCCCUUCUGCAGGGGGCAUCAGAAUUGGUGGCUCUUGCAAGUAUUCUUUAAUUUUAUCGAAGGCUAUUUGACAGUCAUCGUUCCACUCUACGCCUUGAUUCUUCCUCAUGAUCUUGAAUAUUGGUUUAUAUGUUGCAGUAAGGUGAGAGAUAAAUCUGGCGAUGUAAUUUAGCCUUCCCAAGAAACCAUGAACCUCCUUCUCAGUCCUUGGUGCAGGCAUGUUCUGAAUGGCUCGAACCUUGUCAGAAUCUACUUCAAUUCCUCUUUGGCUUACAAUAAAGCCUAAAAGCUUCCCAGAUCGAACCCCAAAUGUGCAUUUGUUAGGAUUAAGUCUUAACCUAAACUUCCUCAAACGAGCAAAUAGUUUCCCCAGGUUGGUGAUAUGUUCUUCUUCUGUAUGGGAUUUGGCAAUCAUGUCAUCGACUUACACCUCAAUCUCUUCAUGAAUCAUGUCAUGAAAGAGAGUCACCAUGGCACGUUGAUAUGUUGCCCCAACGUUCUUUAAUCCAAACGGUAUUACUUUGUAACAAAAGGUGCCCCAAGAGGUAAUGAAUGUGGUCUUCUCCAUGUCCUCGGGAUCCAUUUUAAUUUGGUUGUAUCCUCGAAGAGUCUUAGAUUCAAUUAAGGUAUCAUUCCCUUGUUCGGAAUAUCUUAAUUCUAUCAUAUAAGAUGUUGCUUCGACUCGAUACAGAGAAUCUCAUUUUCUUUACUGUUUGAGAUGCUGCUUCAUCAAUAUGAAGAGUCUCAUCCCAGAUUUCUCUAAGAGAUACUGCUCUAGUAUCCUUGAAAAGUCUUAGAUUCAAUUAAGGCAACAUUCCCUUGUUCGAAAUAUCUUAAUUCUAUCGUAUAAGAUGCUGCUUCGACUCGAUAUAGAGAAUCUCAUUUUCUUUACUGUUUGAGAUGCUGCUUCAUCAAUAUGAAGAGUCUCAUCCCAUAUUUCUCUAAGAGAUACUGCUCUAGUAUCCUCGAAGAGUCUUAGAUUCAAUAAAGGCAUCAUUCCCUUGUUCGAAAUAUCUUAAUUCUGUCGUAUAAGAUGCUGCUUCAACUCGAUAUAGAGAAUAUCAUUUUCUUUACUGUUUGAGAUGCUGCUUCAUCAAUAUGAAGAGUCUCAUCCCAAAUUUCUCUAAGAGAUACUGCUCUAGUAUCCUCGAAGAGUCUUAGAUUCAACUAAGGUAUCAUUCCUUUGUUCGGAAUAUCUUAAUUCUAUCGUAUUAGAUGCUGCUUCGACUCGAUAUAGAGAAUCUCAUUUUCUUUACUGUUUGAGAUGCUGCUUCAUCAAUAUGAAGAGUCUCAUUCUAGUUUUUUCUAGAGAUAUUGCUCUAGUAUCCUCGAAGAGUCUCAGAUUCAAUUAAGGUAUCAUUCCCUUGUUCGGAAUAUCUUAAUUCUAUCGUAUAAGGUGCCGUUUUGUCUCGAUACAGAGAAUCUCACUUUUACUGUUGAGAUGCUGCUUCAUCAAUAUGAAGAGUCUCAUGCCAAUUUUUUUUAGAGGUAUUGCUCUAACAUCCUGAAAAAGUAUUGAGAUUUAGCUGAGAUAUCAUUCCAUUACUAACGUAUCUCGAAUAUGACGUCCAAGAUACUGUUCCGACGACUCCCAGAAAGUCUUGGUUGUCCCAUUUUUUACAUUAGGAUAAUUUCUCUUACUAUUUCUCACUGCAUUUUCUUCCUGUAUUUUAUUCCUUUCAUUUCCUAAGAUAAAAUUUGAGUCUUUCUUGUAUUUAAUUAUCUCCCACCGUGAAUGUACGAAAACUGAUGUCAUUCAUACUUUCCGGUUCGAGGUAAUUAAAUAGGGGCAGCUGUCAUACCCCAAUUUCGUCUGGGUAAGAAAAAUCUUUCACAAGCAUUCACCAACCAGAAGUUAUAAGGCAUAAACUCUAUCUUAGGGUUUCUCAGCCCUAAGCUACUCCAAGCUCUCCAUCCUUCCUAAAGGCACAUUCAAUACUCACAUGAUCAUUAUAAAGAAAACCCUCAGUGGCAUUAAACUUUCAACAAAUCUUUCAGUGGCAUUUCAUCUGUUAAGUUCCUUGUUCAUGACCCAAGAAAACAUCUGUUGCGUUUGUCUCUUAUAGCUGUUACUAAAGCAUGGGAUGGUAUGCGCAUUUUGGGACUUGUUGGUUAUAAAAGGCCCAUUUUUGGUUUAUCCAUAAGACCUUUUGGUUUAAAAAGCCCACUCCUAUCAACAUAUUGAAAGUUCAAAGUAUAGUUCAAAUCUUUUUUUUUACACAUACUAAUCCAAGUCCACUCUCUUAUUAGAAAGUAUUAAAAGCCAUGUUAUUUUUUAUGAUCACUUGAUUAGCCCAAGUUUGCAAGCCCAUUUUCACAUCCCAAAUAUUUGUGCCAAAUUUUAAGUCCUUCAUAGGUCCCUAAAUUAAAUUUGCGUUAUAAAAGCCAUGUUAUUUUUUAUGAUCACUUGAUUAGCCCAAGUUUGCAAGCCCAUUUUCACAUCCCAAAUAUUUGUGCCAAAUUUUAAGUCCUUCAUAGGUCCCUAAAUUAAAUUUGCGUUUUUGAAGCAUGUAUGUGUUGGGUCUAAGCUAAGUCACCAUAUUUAGACUCAUGUUCCAAGAUCCUUUGUUGGUUUCGUGGUUGGAGUUGAACUUUCCAUGCUUAUGAUGUGCAUUUCAUCUUGUUCUUUUAGUUAUAUGAUUAUUUAGCCAAUAAUAAAUAUACUAAGGGAAACCAAUUUGAAUGUUCAUUCUUAUAUUUAUGGUGGUCCAAACAAGUUUUCAAAUGAAAUAUUAAGAUAAGAUUUGAGUGUUUAAAAAAAACUUGAUUACAUAAGCAAGUUCUAAUCUAGGAUAUUAUAAGAUAGUCCAAAGGUUAAUACACAUUAUCCAAAAAAUACAAAGUGUUACAAUUGAAUAAACAAGGUUAUGCUGCAUAUCCAGCUAUUGAAAACAGAGCCUUCAAAGAAACCAUUUCCAAAAGACCAUCCUUUGGAUUGAAGCACCCUAAACCAAAUUCCCUCAUGGAAUUGGUACAACAGUCGUCCGUUCCCACUUGAAAUUGGAUUUGCCUUUGUGACCUGCGAAGAAAUAAAAGCUUAAGUCAAAAGUCUUAUCAUAAGCACUUAAAACAAUGAAGAAUAAUUAAUAAUUAAUCAGGUAAAAGCUUUGCACAGAGGACCACAAUGAACGCCCAGAAAUGUAUUUCGCUACAAGUUCAACAGUAAUGAAUCCACAAAAUAAAAAUCCCACGAAAUCUAGGAUGAGCAAAAGAUAUCCUGACAGAUUAUCCUAGGAGUUACUAGCUCAUCAUGAAUAGGAUAAGCUACACGGUCUCACUAUUUGUUGAUACCUUAGGAUUGGCAUUAAUUUUAGAAAACAAAUAAUGUAUCCACCUCUGUUGUUUUAAUAUGUUGGGUUGAAGAAAUUCAACAUCUGGACCAACAUGUCAUGUACGAUGUCACGACGUCAGGUCUGUGACAUCGCACAUGUGCAGGAAACUGAAUUAAUCAAUUCAGUAUAUGUCAUGGGAUCAGCAAGGAUAUCUGGUGAAUAUCCUAACUCCCUUGUGAAGGCCUUGAAGACUAAUUCAGAAUAUAUAUAGGCUCUAAAUAUGAAGAUAUAUAUGGAGAGAGAUUAGGAACUUGAAGACCUUGUUUAUAGCAGAAUUUUUCUGCUGAAGUUGCAACAGCAAAGAACAAGUCUGCUGCAAUUUUCUGAAGGCCCAAAUCCAGUUGGGUGAUUAGGUUAUAAAUAGCUGAUUGUAAUCUAGUUUUUGUAAGCCUCUUAGAAUGAAUUUUUAGGGGUGUGUGUAAGGUAAACCUCCCAAUCUGUGGGAAGGUUACCAUGUGUUUCUCAGUGGUAAACCUGAGAGUGUUUGUUACUCAAAGCCUGUAGGCAAGAGUAAUUAUGUUCUUGAAUGAAGCUGUGAAGCAAGUUCAAGGUGUUUGCACAUUACAUUGUAUUUGUAGUGAUAGGAAUGGAAACUGGAGGUUUCUAUCUAGGAGUUCCUAGGUAUAGAUUGCAUUGGGUAGGGAUUAAGUGAUGAGUUGUAAACGGGGGAGUUUAACUCUGAAUUGAUACUACUAAUAGUGGAUCUUCUUCCUGGCUUGGUAGCCCCCAGAUGUAGGUCAUGUUGGACUGAACUGGGUUAACAAUUUCCUGUGUUUGUUUUCCUUCUGUAUGAUAUAAUCAUGUCUGCCAUAACUAAGCAUGUAUUCCAGUCUGUUCAUCAAGAUAAUAGCAGACCUGAUACAUAGCCUUCUGUUGGAAUGUCAAUCAGAAUGUUUUGACAUUCAUCAACAACAGCACAUACUGUUUAAUAAGCUGAUGAUUUCAGUUCAGUAUGUAGUGAAGUCUGGAGUUCAAAAGCAUAACAGACCUGGCCAAAAGAUCAUUGUGAAACUGUCAAACUGGAUGUCUUGACAGUUCUUCCAGUAAGCUGAUACUGAAGUAGAGACUGGUUGGUCUUUUACAGUACAGCAAAUUUAGCAGUCUGUGUUCAGGAACUAAACAGACUGAGCAUAUGGUUCUGGGCUUGGAUGUCAGACGGAAUGUUGUGACAUUCAUUCCUGACAGCAUAUGCUAUAUUGUUGGAUGGUUAGUUUUUCUGUUUCAGGAUUUUUCUCAGGCUAUUCUUCAGGAAUCCACCAGCUGAUCUAAAAUCUAGGAAACUAACAACUAAGCUACAAUUAAUGAACCUGGCAAAUAAUCUAUUUGUUAGCUCCUUAAUAAGUGGAGAUUAGUUUAACUUGUUACAACCUUUAAUUUAGGAAAUACAAGUACAUGACCAACAAACUGGAACAAUGUAACAGAUGAUGUUCAAAACAGGAUUGAGACAUCGUGCUGAUAUCUGUGUAGGAAAACAACAGAAGAGAAGGUUAUGGUGCACAUAACUAAGUGUUCCUCCUUUCUAGGAUGACAUAGAAGGAGAGGUCGUGACACUGUGAAAAGGUGCACAUUAGUACAGAGUGUAAUAACUGUCUUGCUGUAAUAAGUACAAUGUUAGAUCAGAUGUCAUGACUUGAAGUAGAACAUCUGAAUACUGACUACGCCAGAAUUUCAAUUGGUAUCAGAGCAGGCAUCCUGUUCUGUCUCUGGAUGAGAUCCAUGGGUGAUACUUUCUGGUAGCUGGCAAGGAGUUAUGUUAGUACUGAUGCUGGAACCUGUGUAAGGUUCUGUAAUUCCCUGAAUGGUCCCUUGAAGUAGGUGGAUGGACUGUUCAUGACAGGAAUGGUGUGUACCUGUCUCUGGAGGUUGGCAAUUGGCCUGUGUGUGGGACAGCUGUGCCAGUACUAAAUCACAUUCAAACCUGGUAUGGUCUUGGAGGCCAAUCUGGUGAAGUGUGUGUUCAUAGGUUGAGUUGUAUUAUGAUUUCCGCUGCAUAAUACAUGGCAAAACUCAAACUCUGAUGUAGUUUCCCCUCAUGUGGAUGAAAGGCUGCUGUGUUCAAGAUCUCAUCAUAAUCUACUGAAGAUGUCAAAGAUACUUGAGUCUCCUCAAGUCCACUCAUCAUGACGUUCUCACUUCAGGAUGGUAAGAGUCACUUAAUCACUGAUUCUCUUACUCUCUUGAGUAGUGUAUAUGAAGACCUUGAAGACCUUCAAGGAAGGUUUGUUCCAAGGAGGUGGAACCAAUGUUCUAUGUGAUGUUAGAACAUGUUGUUCAACAAGUAUGCAGCUACUGGUUGAAGAGCAGAUGUUUUUAGGGUUCAAACAAAGGGAUAAUUCUGUUUGGAACCUACUCCUGACCUGGAAGAGGAGACAUCUGUGUGUGCUAAGUUGACAAGAGCAGGGUCAACUGGGUGUGUGCUCAAGAAGGUCAUCCCUAGAAGUUGAGCUGGUUGAGAUGUGACAUUGUGCAAUCUCCUGCUGUUAGGCAUCUUCCUGCAGUUUGAUCAGGAUUGGAUAGUUGUUCCCUGAAGUACUAUGGUGUGUUGGAAGACAAGUCUCCUGGAUGUUAGCAGUCAAUAAUGGGGUAACCUGAUUGUGAUAUCAUUUAAGGGGGCUGGAACCAUGAAUCUUGUUAUUCAAACACCACGUUCAGAAGUGGCAGUUCUUACUAGGAGUGAGAAUAUGAAGAUUCAGAGGUUGGUUGAGGUAAUAUGCUCUGGCAAUGCAUAUCUACUAUUGACUGGUGUUGUUUGUCUCACUAGUACUUAUGGUCAGCUGAAGUCUGAUUGGUCUGAUUGGAGGAGUUAGUUGCCACUGGUAGGGAUAGUGUAUGUCAUGUUGAGACAUAUGUGUACAAUGCAUGGAUAUUGGUGUGGAGUAUCCAUGAUUGUUAAGUUGAGGGGGAGUUUUGGUUAACCUCCUCAAGUCUGGUCAGCCUAGGGUCUGGUUGGCUGUUGACCUGUGUCACAUGGGUUCUGGUGGUUGUGUGACACAUUUGCAAGGAAGAAUUCAUCUCUCUCAUUCCUAAGGGUGAAUUUAAUCUGGGAAGACUUUCAAAAUUGUCUAGGUGCUUGCAAGCAGAAGAUGUUGACACAAGAAGAGUAUUUUCAAAGUAUUCUUAUGGUGGAAGUAUCUGAAGGGAUGAUUGGGAAAGGAUUUAAGAUCAAUGUCUACUUGUGCCAAGUGCAAGUGUUUAAUUGAUUAUCCUUGGAGCUCAAGAUAACUGAUGUUCUUAAAGAUGUUGGAACAUCACUUCUUCAAGACCCUGUGCAGAAUCACAGGAAGGACAGUACAUUGGCUUAUGAUCUAUCUCUUUGGUGGCAGCAAAAGCAUAUGAUCUCUGAAAAGGUUUCCUGGCAAGAAACAUGUUCAGCCUUGGUAUGUACAAGAAGAAGAAGACAUCAUAGUCUUGAUGGUGGUUACUUGGAUCAGUUUAUUUCUGAUCUAGGUAAGGAAGUGCAUUAGCUUAUGCACACUGUGAAGUCAAGAACAAGUGGCAGCAGUCUUGACAUCAUGGAAACAGCCUUGCCUUAGGAUGUGGAAUCCUUGGUAGAGCUGAAGGGUUAGUUUCUAACUGGUCCUUCUGAAGACUCAUACAUCAGAGUGUCUGAUGUCUUUGGAGAAGAAGCAGGGAUUCAUCAAGGUGUGAGCUUGGAUGACUUAACUGCAAACCUGCAGGAUGGAGGUUGUUUACUCAAACUUGGUUCCACAAUCAAGUCUAUGAGAACAUUGAACUCUUGUUCUGUGAAGGGAGGAAGUUCUUUCAAGUGGCAGAAGAAGGAGCUGAAUUCAACAGCUAGAUGUCAAAACACAAUGUUGUGACAUUUGGUUCAACAUCAGACCCUUAGUUGGUGAUGUGGCACAUCAACUUGAGAUAGAAAGGUCUACAGGGUUGUAGAUUGGAUACUUCAAAAUCUUGAAGUUCUAGUCUCACUUGAGAGGUCAGAAUAUCUUAGGGAGAAGUCUGAUAAACUUGGGGAGGUCAAAAAGCAGCAUUUGACCUUUUCAUAUGAGAAUUCAUGAAGGAGGUAAUCAACCAGUGGCAGUUGGUCUAUCUCAGAAGUGAGUUCGAAGAAUCAAGAUAAUCAACAUAAGGCAGCUGAUUAUUCUUGAGGAAAGUCUGAGACAAAUUACUUUUGAGCAGAAAAGUAUUAAGUUGAAGACAAAAGGAGGUGUUUUCUAUUCAUCCCUUGGAGCUUGUGGUAGGAGUUCUGAGCCAUCUAUGGAAGAUUAUCUCAUGUAAUGGGAUGAAAAGGUAUAUGUCCCAAUUUAUGUCUGGAUUCUUCUUGAUCAAGCUGGUGACUCAGUGAUAUCUGAAGACUAUCAGAUGGUGUUCCCUGUUAUGUGUGAAGGAUGUCCUAACGAAUGUUAGAACAUUUUGUGAAGUGGCUUUCUGUUCUGGUUAGAAGAGAGAUUGACACAGGGUGUGGAUGUGUUCAACCAAGAGGGUUGAACAGAGGGUGCGCUCUUGAAGACAUGAAGAUGAGUCUUAUGUUUUCCAUUCAUCAAGUGGGUUGAGUUCUUUUUGAAUCAGGAAGAAGGUGAAGGUCCAACCAUGUUGGAUAUGUGUGACCUCCAAGAGAGUAGGUUGUCCAUGACAGGGGGAGUUGUGCCUUUGUGCUGCAAGCAAUCACCAAGCUUGUGGUCUAUGUGUUCUCAGAUGACUAGGUAGUUAUCAGGAUGCUGUGAUGUAUGUCAAGGCUGAGUGAGCAGAAGAAUGUCUGACCGGAUGUCAUGACAUUGCCCUGGACAUUGCUGUUAAUUCCUUCUGAAUCUUAAAGUCAUUAGGAAUUAUGAGGGUGAUGUGGCUAAGUCUGAUAAACCAGAAUAAGCCUGAUGGCUACAGCUGUGUGGUACAGGGGGAGUAACCAUCAACUGAAGUGUGAAAAGUUGGCUGUAGCAGUGCUAGGUGUCAAGUCUCUACUGGAGGUAUGACAGAGGUCUUGUUGAAUACUGGCUGAAUGCAGGAAUGUUAAGACAUCGCGUGCAACGUGUCUGACUGCAUAUAUGGAAUGGUCUCCAUGCACUGGAACGGCUGUUUUGGAAAAGAAACAGUCAAGAGCUAUAAAAGGUAUUCAAAGAUAGUCUGAGAUUUUGUUGGUGAUUCUCUGACUGUUUCUCAGCAAAAAUAAAUGCAUCUUGACCAAGCAUUUAUUUCUACCGGAAAUUCCUAGGCACGGGCAGAAACACUCUUCUCCCCACAACAGAAACACUCCAAUCUCAGAAUCAUGGGGUAUGUUAAGGUCUGGGCAAGCUGCGCCUGGAUCUGGUUUUGUGAAGGGUGCCUUUACAAAUGUUUAGCUAAAAAGGGGGAGAGAAAGAAACAUAGUCCUAUAGUCCUGGGGUCGAGAAGCAAACAGAUCACUGUGGUAGAAAACAGAAAGUUGGGGUUGGGGUUAGACACAAAAUUCACCAACUGAAUUACCACUUGUGUCUUGUGAUCUGAGUUAAGAGGGCAGUUGUGCCUUGUAAUCUGAGUUACAUCAUUCGUGUACUCAGCAUUACAUAUUCUUCCGGAAGCUCUCCUGUUGAAGGGAAGGGUUCUGGUACAACUGACCCGUGUACCUCAUCUUCCUCAUGUACACCAACAUUGGUGUUCAUGGUGGGGGGAGAUAAUAAUAGAGGCUUAUUUGUUUUAGCUAAAAUUUGCCAAAGGGGGAGAUUGUUGAUACCUCAGGAUUGACAUUAAUUUUAGAAAACAAAUAAUGUAUCCACCUCUGUUGUUUUAAUAUGUUGGGUUGAAGAAAUUCAACAUCUGGACCAACAUGCUCAUGUUACGAUGUACGAUGUCAGUGUCUGAUGACCAGAUCGCACAUGUGCAGGGUUAAACUGAAUUAUCAAUCAGUUAUAAUAUGUCAUGGGAAUCAGCAAGUGGGGAUAUUGGUGAAUAUAUCUUAACUCCCUUGUGAAGGCCUUUGAAGACAUUCAGAUAUAUAUAGGCUCUAAUAUGGAGAUAUAUAUGGAAGAGAUUAGGAACUUGAAGACCUUGUUUAUAGCAGAAUUUUUCUGCUGAGUUGCAACAGCAAGAACAAGUCUGCUGCAAUUUUCUGAAGGCCAAAUCCAGUUGGUGAUUAGGUUAUAAAUAGCUGUUGUAAUCUUAGUUUUUGUAGCCCACUCUUAGAAUGAAUUUUUAGGGGUGUGUGUAAAAGUAAACCUCCCAAUCUGUGGGAAGGUUACCAUGUGCCUCUCAGUGGUAAACACUGAGAGUGUUUGUCACAUCAAGCCGUUGUAGGCAAGAGUGAUUAUGUUCUUGAUAUGAUUGUGAAGCAAGUUCAAGGUGUUUGCACAUUACAUUGUAUUGUAGUGAUAGGAAUGGAAACUGGAGGUUUUCUAUCUAGGAGUUCCUAGGUAUAGAUUGCAUUGGGUAGGGAUUAAGUGAUGAGUGUAACGGGAGUUUAACUCUGAAUUGAUACUAAUAGUGGAUCUUCUUCCUGGCUUGGUAGCCCCAGAUGUAGGUCAUGUUGGACUGAAUGGGUUAACAAUUUCUGUGUUUGUUUACUACUGCAUGUUAUUAAUCAUGUCUGCCAUAAUCAGUUGUUGUUACAGUCUGCCAAUCAAGUUAAUAACAAACCUGAUACAUAGCCUUCUGUUGGAAUGUCAAUCAGAAUGUUUUGACAUUCAUCAACAACAGCACAUACUGUUCAAUAAGCUGAUGAACUCAGUUCAGUAUGUAGUGAAGUCUGGUUUUAACAAGCAUAUCAGACCUGGCCAAAAGAGCAUUGUGAAACUGUCAAACUGGAGGUCUUGACAGUUCUUCCAGUAAGCUGAUACUGAAGUAGAGACUGGUUGGUCUUUUACAGUACAUCAAAUUUAGCAGUCUGUGUUCAGGAAUUAAACAGACUGAGCAUAUGGUUCUGGACUUGUAUGUCAGACGGAAUGUUGUGACAUUCAUUCCUGACAGCAUAUGCUAUAUUGUUGGAUGGUUAGUUUUUCUGUUUCAGGAUUUUUCUUAGGCUAUUCUUCAGGAAUCCACCAGCUGAUCUAAAAUCUAGGAAACUAACAACUAAGCUACAAUUAGUGAACCUGGCAAAUAAUAUAUUUGUUAGCUCCUUAAUAAGUGGAGAUUAGUUUAACUUGUUACACCUUAUCAAGGAAAUACAGUAAUGACCAACAAACUGGAACAAUGUAACAAGUGAUGUCCAAAACAAGAUUGAGACAUCGUGCUGAUAACUGUGUAGGAAAACUACAGUAGUGAAGUUAUGGUGCACAUAACUAAGUUUCCUUCUCUCUAGGAUGACAUAGAAGGAGAGGUCGUGACACUGUGAAAAGGUGCACAUUAAUACAGAGUGUAAUAACUGUCUUGCUGUAAUAGGUACAAUGUUAGAUCAGAUGUCAUGACUUGAAGUAGAACAUCUGAAUACUGACUAUGCCAGAAUUUCACUAUUAGUACCCAGAGAUAACAUUGAGUAAAAAAAACCGUUAAUUUUCGGCAAGAAAUCAAAAUAACCUUUCAUCAACACAACCAUCUAAAAGCGCUCAAAGGUAAAGAAGAACAGAGGAAGACGAAAAGAGUUAAAAAGUUAGGAGGAAACUUAUCUUGAAUGCCGUGGAGAAGACGUCGCUGACGACCUACUUCCGAUCAAGUAUACCCCUUCUUUCUCCUUCGCUUAAAAUAUUUGCAUCAUUUUAUUCGCCUCGACGAGCUGACCAAAACCCCCAUAACAAUUGCUUGAAAUCUCCCCCAUGUAGCUUCAUUUGCAGAGUUAGGGUUUGACCUUGAAUGUUUAUAUUUAAUUUGUUUUUGUGUUCGUUUGGCUUGAGAAGCAUAUUUAUAUGGUUUGGUUUGUGAAAAUUUUCGUUUAGGUUUUUGUGUGUGAUUUAAGAUCUCCGAUCUGAGACACUGGUUAGCCUUUUGUUAUUUUCGUGACCGGAUCUGUGAUCGUGAGGUUAGAAUAUGUAGAGUUGGUGUUUGGAGUUUAGAGUUUGGGGUAGAGGUUCACCGGAGAAGAAGGUUGCGCUGUCGCCGUUGGUCGGCCACCACCGUCUUCUCCGACAGGUCGCGACCGGAGGGAUGGUCGGAAAUUGCAGAGCAAUUUCUUUUCUUUUCAAGUGAAGAGAGAGAAGGAAGGUUAAAAAAUGAAGUUGUUCUGUUGAAGUGGGGAUUUAAGGCGUGGCCUUUUGGAUAAGUACGGUGGUGACAAGUGUCUCCACCGUGGACACUUGUCACCGGUUGUUUGAACUUUUCUAGUGGAUUCUGUGUGAUUCUCAUGGACCCUUACCGUGUCCUAGCAUAUUUAUCGUCCGUCCACCCUUGUUGACUUAAUCAAGUCACGAGAUCUAACGACCUUUGAUUCGGCUGCACGGUCAAUUCGUUGACCAGGAGAUCCACUGGAUUCAUGGGCUGAGGCUGGGGCCUCCGAAUUGGGCCCAAAAUCUUGCCUUUUCGCACCCCUUUAGUGACAUGCAGUAAGCCCAUCUUUUAAAUAAUACUUAUUUAUUUUCACCAAUUUUCUCUUCCCAUAUUUUUAUGUAAAAUAUAUAUAUAUAUAAACUAUUAUUACCAUAAACUUAAUUUUAGCUAUUUCAUUUACUUAACUAUUAUUUUAAAUAUUUUAUUUGUAAAANUUUUCUCUUCCCAUAUUUUUAUGUAAAAUAUAUAUAUAUAUAAACUAUUAUUACCAUAAACUUAAUUUUAGCUAUUUCAUUUACUUAACUAUUAUUUUAAAUAUUUUAUUUGUAAAACUCAAAAUUAGUCAUGGAUUUGAUGCUUUAUUUGUAAACUUAAAAUUAAUUGUUGAUUUAAUUUGUAUAUUUGUUUUAGCCAUCAUUUUCGUAUAUGUUUGAUUAAACUUAUUGGUGCAACUUCUAGGUCCGAAUAAAUCAUGUUCUAAGUCAUAUUUUCAUAUUAGCAUUCAUCAUUUAAUUUAUCAUAAUAACUCAUUAAAAUCACACAAUUCUCGAUUCAAAGGUCGAGCCUAUUUUUAAACACCCCUGUAAGCCGAUUGCUUUUAAGCAUCGCCAUCAACCUCACAUAGCUUGCUCUUGGGCUUUCUUACAAUGAGACCUAGUCGACUAUUAAUUGACCGAUUAGAUGAACUAUUCACUAAAUAAAAUCCACUUCAUUCAUAAACAUAAAUUUAAAACCUCGAUCCAACAUUGAGUAUUAUUUAUUAAAAUUAAAUUAAAAUACCUAAUCACAAUUAGAUACCAUUUCAUUUGGAAAUGAAAAAGGAGAUGGUUUUAAGUUUUCAACUCAACUCCUCGAUUAUUUGGAUACGAGUUCUUUUACUCAGUUAGUCGAAUAAUCGUCAUUUCUAAUCCACUUAAGCAUAAUUAAAUCAAAGCAUUCUUACAAUAAAUAAAUCAAAUGAAAUGGGGAAUGGUUUUGAGUUUUCAACUCCUCCCCUCGAAUGUUUGGAUACGAGUUUUCUUACUCGGUCAGUUAAAGACUCGUCCUUUCGUUAUAAACUUCUAAGCCCCAAUUAAAUCAAAUUAUUUUCAUAAUAAGCUUAAUCAAAAGGGAGAUGACUUUGAGUUUUCAACUUCUCUCCCCAACUGUUUGAAUACGAGUUCUCUUACUCGAUCAGUCAAACAAUUGUCAUUUUUCACAAAACGUACAACUUAGUCAAAUCAUUUUCAUAACAAAUUAUACGAAAAAGGAGAUGGUUUUGAGUUUUCAACUCCUCUUCUCAAAUGCUUGGAUAUGAUUUGUCUUACUCAGUCAUUCAAGUACUUAUCGUUCAUUCUAAAAUACGUCAACCGUACACAAACUAAUUUUCAUAAUCACUCAGAUGAAAAAGAAAGUGGUCUAGAGUCUUCUAUUCCCUUUCCCGUUUAUUAGGAUACGAGUUGUCUUACUCGAUUACCCGAGUAUUCAUCAUCCAUUCAAAACACCUUAAUUAUUAUCAAAUCCUAUCUAUAAUUAAAGAUGAAAAAGAAAGUGGUCUAGAGUCUUCUAUUCCCAUUCCCGACUGUUAGGAUACGAGUUGUCUUACUCGAACAUCCAAGUAAUUGUCAUCCAACCAAAAACAUCUCAACCAAUCAUCCAACAUAUUAGUCCAACUUGUCACCCCCGUGUGACCAAAACUCUUUUCAAAAAGACGCAGUUUAAUCCCUUCUAACGCGCAUAACAAACUAGUUCUCAAGCCUCCGCCGAGAGUAGACAAGCCGACGUUUAGUCUUUAGAAUGUGACCUAAAUAGUUGUUCAUUAAAAAAACACCAACCAACCGUAGUUCCCUGAACUACGAAUGCUCUGAUUUCCUUAUUGCACCAUAAGGAUACGUAGGCAGGAGAUUGUUGUAUCUUCGCGAGCACACUAAUAAAAAACCUCCCAUUUCCCCCUUCUGAGGUCUUCAUCCAUAUCUAUUAUAAUCUCUAGUUACUCGAAUAAAACAAACAAACAUAAAUUAACACUCAAAUCAUAGAAUUGAACUAAAAGGUUUUCGUUGAGUACAACGGACGUGAGGGGUGCUAAUACCUUCCCCUUGCGUAAUCCACUCCCAAAACCGAAUAUAGUUGCGACGACCAUUAUUCUUAUUUUUAAAGGUUUUAUCAAUAUUUUCCUAUUCCUUCAUGGGAAUGAAUAAAUUUCGGUGACGACUCUAUUUCGAACUAAACAUUUUUCCGCGUCCAUCGCGAGGGAUCGCAUUUUUUUUGAGGUGCCGACAACUUUGAGCACUGUUUUGUUCCGAUGACUUUAGUAGGCAAUAACAAUUGAAAAAAGUGUUUGGUUACUUCACACUCAACCUUUCACCUGCCUCGCAACAAAUAUAGUGUACAACAUAGUGUAUAUGACAUGGAAAUGGAGGAUGAAUGAUAUGAUAUUGCACUGUAUCUGGUGACCCUUUCCUGAUCUUGAGGAACCUAUUGGCCACCACUUCAAGGUGGACCUUUCCCUAAGUUUUAUCUUCCAUGAGCUUUUACUAUGUCAUAUUUUGUUGUGAUUAUUGCACCACUGCUUUUACUAUCAUAAUAUCUCUUGACACUGUGUUUGAAAUAUAUUAAGAAAAUUAUUAAAAAAUGUUCUUUUAAAAUCUUUUGAAAAUAUGGUGUUGUAGAACAUGUGUUUGAAAUAUAUUAAGAAAAUUAUCAAAAACAUUUAUAGGAUUGAACCAAACUGUGCAAGUUAAUUCGUAACUGAAUUGAACUAUUAUUGAUUCACUUAACUGAUUAUGAAUUCUAAACCGAACGGUUAGUAAGUAUUAUUUUUCAAACCUACCUAGUAUCAACUUCCUAUCUAAGAUAGUUACAUGCCCCCGUUAUGCCUUAAAUGCCCUUCUUUCAUUUUCAAACCUAGCUGAUAUCAUGAGUUCACUCUGUUGUAUUCGUUUGUGGGUCUGACGAAGAGGAUUCCAUUGGAAACUUGCUUAUAACUGUGCAUGGAAACUCUGGCAACCUUACAUCUGCUUGAAGGAUAUUUGAUAGAAUAAUAGGAAAAAGUGUUCUAUCAUGGACGUCGAUGAUUGCAGGAUAUGAUGGUUCAGGCCAUCCAGAGGAAUCAUUGAGUCUUUUUAGAAGGAUGAUAAGGACGGAAACUAAAUCAAAUGGAGCAACCCUAGCAACUACUUUAUCAGCUUAUGCUGAUUUGGGAUCACUCAACAUUGGACAAGAGAUCGAAGAAUACGUUUUUGAACACCGAUUUCAAUUGGUCCAACUAGUCCAAAUGUCUGUUAUACACAUGUACUUUAUAUGUGAUAGUAUUAACAAAUCUAGAAAAGUAUAUGAAAGUGUGAAAAAUAAAGAUCUGAUUCUUAGGACUUCCACGAGGGAGGGGGAAUGAAGCUAUUAGUCUCUUUGGAAAAAUGACAACUUCAAAGAGGAUAUAACCCAAAUGCCAUUUGGUUACACGAGUCUUUUAUAUUCUUGUAGCCAUUCAGGAUUGAUAGAAGAUGGACUAAAGUACUUCAAAAGUAUGCAAACAGAUUUUGGAAUAACUCCUACAAUAGAACAUUAUACUUGUUUGGUAGGUCUCUCGGCCGAGUUGGGCAACUUGAUCUACCUCUUGAUACAAUUCAGGCGAUACCUCCAGAAGUCCAAGCCGAAGCUUUUGGUCCGUUGCUUAAUACUUGCAGGAUCCAUGACAUGCAACUUCCAAUUUAUUAGACCUAGACGUUAGUCCAAGAAGUUCUGCAAUUUAUUACACACUUGAUAUUCUUGUUUCUAAUCUAACAAUUUCAGAAGAUCUUUUGUUUGUCUGCACGCUAUUAAGUCUAAAUUAAAUCUAAUUCUGUUAAGGGAACCAGUUAUAAUACAAGGUGUACAGGUCAAGGAAUUAAGAAUUACAUUUUGUUUUUUCAUUCACUUCUGUCAUGUGUUGAUUUCUAUUUGAAGACUAAACAACAUUUUGUUUUAGUUGACAUUUUUGUUUUGGUGAUAAUUGUCAUACCCCAAUUUUGUUUGGGUAAGGAAAAAUCUUUCACUAGCAUUCACUACCAGAUGUUAUAAGGCAUGAACUCUAUCUUAAGGCAUAAGCUCUAUCUUAAGGUUUCUCAGCCCUUAGUGACAUCAAAUCUCAGUGACAUUUUCAUCUGUUGAGAUCCUUGUACAUGACUUAAGAAAACAUCUGUUGCAUUUGUCUCUUAUCGCUAUUACUGAAGCAUGGGGUGGUAUGUGCAUUUUGGAAUUUUUUGGUUAACAAUGCCCAUUUUGGUUUAUCCAUAAGAUCUCUUGGUUUUAAAAAGGCCCAUUCACAUAAACAUGUCCAUAAUAAAUAUUGCAAAGUGUGGUUCAAAUCUUUUUACAUUACUAAUCCAAAGUUCAUCUGAUUAUCAGUAAGUAUUAAGAACCAUGAUUAUUUUUUAGGAUCACUUGUUAUUAAGCUCAUUUUCACAUCUCAAAUAUAUGUGCCAAAUUUCUAAGUCCUUCAUAGGUCCCUAAACUAAAUUUGCAUUUUUUUUGAAGCAUGUAUGUGUUGGUUUUAAAUCAAGUCACCAUAUUUAGACUCAUAUGUUGGUUGUAAGUAUGCGUGUGUUGGUUUUAAAUCAAGUCACCAUAUAUAUGCAUAUGUGUUGGUUUUAUGACUAAGGUUGAAAUUGCAAUAUUUGUGACAUGUUUUAUUUUAGACUUUUUUGUCACAUUUUUAUUUUGGUUGAUAGUAGUAUGCUAAGGGUAAUCAAGUUAGAAGCCUAUUUUUAUUGCAUUGUGGCCCAAACCAUUUUCAGAUUGAGAUAAAGUUUAAGCAUUUUAAUUGAUUAACACAAGUAAAAUAUUAAGACAAGGUUUAAAGGUUUAAAAAGAAAUUAAUUGCAUAAGCGAAUUUUGAGUCUAAAGGUAUUACAGAUAAUUCCAAAGUUUACAUAACUAUCCAAAAGUUAAUACAUUAUCCAAUACGUUACAAACAGUCCAAAUUACAUCUUAAAUGGAAUAAAUUGUUGUAAAUCCAGCAGUUGAAAGCAAAGUCCUCAAAGAAGCCAUUGCCAAAACCGUCUGUUGAAGUGAAGCGCCCCCAAAUCCAACCUCCAACUAGAGCAGGCGCAGGCUCCUUUCAAUCAAGGUCUCUUCACCUUUGUAAACCUGCAAAAAUCAACUCAGAAAUUAAAAGUCUUUUCAAAUAAGCACUUUAAAAAAGCUGGAAAAUAAUUUGGUGAAUAAAAUAGAUUAAAGCUUUGCCCAGAAGAUCAUAACAAACACCCAAUUCGAACAACUGUGAAACCAUAAGAAAAUAAUCCCAUAAAAUUUGGAUGGAAAAGAUAAUCUAACAAGUUAUCUCAAGACUUAAAAAGUCAUCAUAUAUACCAAAGAAGAACACAGUGAACAGGACGGUUGAAUCAAAAAAGAAGCAAGCAAAACAUAAUUUUUGCUAAACAUCAAACACAUAAACAUCGGAAAAAAAAAACAAUAACAAAUAGCAUCCAAAGAAAAGGACGAAAUAGAGGAAGACGAACAGAAUUAAAAGGAAACAGAGACUUAUCUGAAGCGUGGUGGAGAAACUCGCGUCGCCGGCGAACCGUCCUCAAACCAAGUAGAUUUCUUCUCCUUUUUGCUUAAACUCCAUAUCAUUGCACUCGCCUUUCCAAACCGAGUAGAAACCCCAUGUCAUCUUCUUUAAAUCGUGACUGUAGAAGGUCAAAUUUCAAAACUUAGGGUUAGGGUUUCAACAGAUGAUGCUUGUUUAGGUUUUGAUUUGUGGUUAGGACAAUUUAGGGUUCGUUGGUUGCAUGAGAGAUUGUUGAAGUUAGGGUUUAAGUUUGUGUUCUUGUUUUGGAGCGCCGAUCCGGCCGUUUGAGAGAGGUUUUGGAAGAACUAAGGUCGGAUUUGGAUUCUCCGGCCAAAAAGAGGUGGGGUUUGUGUUUUAACAUUUAGGUUUUAGGGUGGGGUCACCGGAGAAGAAGGCGGCGGUGCCGCGGUUGGCCGGUCGCCACCGUCUUCUCCGGCAGUUGUUGGCCGUGAGGAGGACAGAGAAGAGAAGCUCAAUUGCAGAGCAACUCUGAGCGUGUGAUUAAAGAGAGAGAAAGAGAGUGAAUAAAUGAGGUUUUCUUUUCCAUUUUCCUUUUUAAAUGGUGCUAGGGAUGGGCGCAUGGGUGCCAAGUGGCUCCAUGUGGGAAGGCCACGCCUGGGUUGACCAUGGUCAACCAGGCAAUCCUGUAUGAGCACCCCACGAUUCCUUAUAGUGCACUGCCCAUCAGAUUCAACCCAUUCGUUUGACCAAGUCAGAUCAGUGGAUCUGACAAUCAAGAGUUUCGCUGGAGGUCAACAAGGUUAACCAGGCUCAACAUCACUUCCUUGCGUUUUAGGCUUUCAGCUUGGGCUCAAAGACCAUUUUUGUUAUUUAAACCCUUUUUUUUUCAAGUACAGCGCCCAGAUUUGGGCCUCUCUUAAUAUCAGCCCAUUCUCUUUUAUUUUUUUAACUUGUUUAUUUAUUUUUCUUUAUUAUAUUUUUUAUAUAUACAUAUAAAAUAUAUAUAUUAGAAUAUUAUGGCUAUAUAAAAACAAUAUUUUUAUUUCAUUUACUUUCUAUCAAAAUUAUGUAUAUAUUAUUAUUAUUAUUAUUAUUAUUAUUAAUACUUAAUGGUAAUUAUUCAAUUAUUUGGUUAUAUCAUUAUUAUUUAGUUACUUAUUAUUUAAUCAAAUAGUCCAUUAAUUAUUUAAUUGAUUAAUUAUAUUAUUAUUACUAUCAUGUAUAAUUCAAAUAAUUACUUAUUUUUGUGGAAUGUGUGUGCAUUAUUAUUUACUUAUUUGUAUCAAUUCUUGAAUAACAUAUGUAUGGUGUGCUUCAAUUGUGACAAGAUUAUUUCGAUUUCACCGAUUUAAAAAAAUAAUUUAAUAAAAUUUCAAAGAAUAAAUCACAUACUUCUAGAUUCAAUGUCGAGCCCAUUUUCAAAAUACCUUUUGUAAGUCGAUCGCUUUUAAAGCAUCGCUAUCAACCUCACAUGGCUUACUCUUGGACCUUCUUACAGUGAGACUUAUUAUAUUUUAAUUAAUCGAUUAGAUGAACUAUUCACUAAAUAAAUUCAAUUCAUUCACAAAAUACAAAUUUAAAACCUCUAUCCAACAUUGAGCAUUUUUUUAUUAAAAUCAAAUUAAAAUACUCAAUCAUAAUUAAAUACUAUUUUAUUUAGGAAUAAAAAGGGGAUGGUUUUGAGUUUUCAACUCCUCUCCUCGAUUAUUUGCACACAAUUUCUUUUACUCGAUUAAUCGAAUAAUCGUCAUUUCUAAUCCACUUAAGAACAAAUAAAUCAAAUCCUUUUAUAACAAGAAACCAAAACGGAGAUGACUUUGAGUCUCCAACUUUUCUCCUCGAUUAUUUGAAUACAAGUUCUCGUACUUGGUUAGUCAAAUAAUUAUCGUUCCUCUACAAACUUCCAAACCCCAAUUAAAUCAAAAUACUUUCAUAAUAAUGAAAUGAAAAAAGAAGAUGACUUUGAGUCUUCAACUUCUCUCCUCAAUUGGUUGAAUACGAGUCCUCUUACUCGGUCAGUCAAACAAUUGUCAUUUUUCCACAAACAUACAAUUUAAUCAAAUCAUUUUCUUAAACAAACUAUACGAAAAAGGAGAUGGUUUUGAGCUUUCAAUUCCUCUUCUCAAAUGCUUGGAUAUGAGUUGUUUUACUUAGUCAUUCAAGUACUUGUCGUUCAUUCUAAAAUACGUCAACCAUAUACAACCUUAUUUUUAUAAAUAUUCAGAUGAAACAGAAAGCGAUCUAGAGUCUUCUAUUCCUUUUCCCGAUUAUUAGGAUAAGAGUUAUCUUACUCGAUUAUCCGAGUAUUCGUCAUCCAUUCAAAACACCUCAACUAUUAUCAAAUCCUUUCUAUAAUUAAGGAUGAAAAAGAAAGUGGUCUAAGAGUUUUCUAUUCCCUUUCCCAACUGUUAGGAUACUAGUUGUCUUACUUGACUAUCCGAGUAAUCGUCAUCCAACCAAAAACAUCUCAACCAAUCAAAAAAUCCAACAUAUUAAUCCAACUUGUCACCUCCGUGUGACCAAAACUCUUUUAAAAAAGAACACCAUUUAAUCCUUUCUAAUAUGCAUAACAAAUCAAUGCGUAAUCCCCCGCCGAGAGUAGACAAGCCAACAUUUAGCCUUUAGGAUGCGAUCUAAACAGUUGUUCAUUAAAAAACACCAACCAGUCGUAGUUCCCCGAACUACGAAUGCUCUGAUUUCCUUAUUGCACCAUAAGGAUAUAUAGGCACGAGAUUGCGAGAUCUUGGCGAUCACACUAAUAAAAACCUCCCUUUCCCCUCUUCUGAAGUUUCCAUCCAUCUCUUUUCAAUACUCUAAUAACACGAAGAAAACAAACAAACAUAAAUUAACACUCAAACCGCAUAUUAGAACUAAAAGUUUCCCGUUGAGUACAACGGACGUGAGGGGUGCUAAUACCUUCCCCUUGCAUACUUAACUCCUGAACCCGAAUAUGGUUGCGACGACCAUUACUUUGAUGUUGGGAUACAUUCCUUUGCCUUGCCAUCCUCUAUUCAUUGAUGCACAACUACACUAUUUCACUUGUCUCAUUUAUUGCAUCUUCAAUUUGGUGUGAUAAAUUUCAACGGGAACAAAGCAAUUAGGGGCAACAUUUAUUUUUCCAAAAGCUAUGAUGACAAAGUCAAGAAAAUAUGAACCAUUAGUUCCAAGAUAUUUUGAUAAUUGUAUUAUUGUAGGAAGUGUGAAGUUAUAUUGUCCACAUAAUCACAUAGCUCUGUCACAUCACUUUGCCUCACUUUGUGUUUGUUUGAUCUCUUUUGGGUGUGAUGUUAAUAACAAAAUUAAGUUCACAUUCAGCGAGUAUUUAAAUAGAAGUUAUAUUGUCCACAUAAUCACAUAGCUCUGUCACAUCACUUUGCCUCACUUUGUGUUUGUUUGAUCUCUUUUGGGUGUGAUGUUAAUAACAAAAUUAAGUUCACAUUCAGCGAGUAUUUAAAUCCAUGCUUCUUAUGUAUUACCACAUAGUUAUCAAAUCCAUAUAAAGCCAUAUAGCAUAAACUUCUUACUGCACGAAAUGAAGCCUUUUUCUUUCUUAGCACCUAUACUUUUCUACCUUCAUCUUCUUUUUCUGUUUACUUUAAACUUAAUGUGGUUUGCUCUAAACCAAAUUGUGGCAGUAACAUUAGGAAACCAAACAGAUUACUCAAAGACAUUAGCUCCUGUUGCAAAAUUGAACGCUGUUAGAAUUCUUUUGUCUCUUGCUGCUAACAUGGAUUGGCCUUUGCACCAGUUAGAUGUUAAGAAUUCCUUUCUUAAUGGCGAUCUAGAAGAAGAUAUAUAUAUAUAUAUGGACAUACCUCCAGACUUUGAAAACAAAUUUGGAUCAAAUGUGUGCAAACUAAAUAAGUCUUUGUAUGGAUUAAAGCAGUCCCCUAGAGCUUGGUAUGAAAAGUUCACUCAGUCCGUGAAGAAACAAGGGUACAUCCAAGGACAGGCUAACCACACCUUGUUCAUAAAAUUCUCCCACGAUGGGAAAGUUGUUGUCUUGAUUGUUUAUGUUGAUGAUAUUAUCCUUACUGGAGAUGAUAUAGUGGAAAUGGACAGAGUAAAAGAGAAAUUGGCAGUAGACUUUGAAAUCAAGGAUCUGGGUUUCAUGAGUAAUUUUCUAGGUAUGGAGGUUGGUCGGUCAAAAAAUGGUAUUAUGGUUUCACAGCAGAAAUACAUUAUAGACUUGUUGAAAGAAACAGGAAUGAAUGGAUGUCGUCCUCUAGAUACCCAUAUGGAUCCUAAUGCUAAACUUUGAUGACCAUCUACCUGAGGUGACUGACUCUCACCACAUAGAUGGCUAUGAGUUUAAGAGUGCUUUGAAUGACAUGUUGAAACGCCCUUAUACUGAUGAGUUUGUGAAAAGUGACUUGUUCCCACGAAGCAUCUACCUAGUGGCUAUUGUUAUUUGAUCUUCCAUCUUCCCAAAACCCUAACCUUCCACUAUAAAUUGGGAGAAACCUCUCUCUAGCAGAAUCUCCUUCAAAACCCUUCCUAAACCUUCUCUCUAUACACAAACACCCUGUUUCACAGUUGCUCAAAUGGCCACCACAUCACGAAUACCUUCCGGCAAAAGAACCCGAGAAUCAUCCGCAGCAUCUCUUCCCAUAUCUGCUGUAUCACUCGUUCCUCCCACUCGUGUCGAAGCCUUCAACAAGGAUAUCAGCAAACGAGGAGUUGUGCAACAGCAUGCGUUCUACAAACUAACUGCUGAACGUAUGCAUCUCACUCAAAUCUUGGCUCUGCUGCAGCAUCAGGGCUUCAUCAACUUCCUGGAGUGCAACACUAAAUACAGUGAAGACCUUGUCCGAGUUUUCUACGCCGGUCUUCAUGAGAACUUUUACGGGCACAAGUUUUCCUCCAAAGUUGGCUCUACAAAGGUAUCGCUUAAAUAAAAUAUCUGGAACAAAUACUUUGAUUUGUCUGUGGAUAAUGCUGAUGACCAUCUACCUGAGGUGACUGACUCUCACCACAUAGAUGGCUAUGAGUUUAAGAGUGCUUUGAAUGACAUGUUGAAACGCCCUUAUACUGAUGAGUUUGUGAAAAGUGACUUGUUCCCACGAACUGUCACUGCCGGCAAGCUGAACGCUGGAGAAAGGAUUCUUCAAUGGAUUGUCUCACGCAUUCUGCGGCCCAAGAAGGGCGGUCUCUCCAGAGUCGAACAGGCCGAGGUUCACCUGAUUUACAUUCUGAAAAAUAAGAUAAAAAUUAACUGGCCAUACUACAUUGCCAGUAGAAUGUAUAAU
rnacentral:lncRNA from 1 species